AAGGAAACAACAAACAACACAAAUGCUUUUAUGAUUCAUUGAGUGCCAAAUGUACAUCAUUUCAUCGUUUGGGAAUACCCUUAAUAAGUCCUACGGCUAAUUGGUUAGUCGAUAACCGAAAAAGCCGCAACACGCGCACGCGCACGUCCGUUUACUAGAGGGUUAGAUGGACGGACGGAUGGACGGAUGGAUGGAUGGAUGGGGACUCUGCAAAUGGUUGCAUCGACAUCAUCAACAUUUUCCGCCUAUUUGUUUGCAACAAACAAAAUUAAAACAAUCAUAAAAAUAAAAGUGAGAUGGAAACAACAAGCACAGGGAACAGGAAUGAACGAAGAAGGGCCACUCCUUUUUGGUCAUCAGCCAAGCGACCAGCGGACCAACGGACGAACGAACCAACCCUCCGACAAAUGAUUCAAUGGAAGCCGUUAAAACGACACGCGUCAGAAAUCAAAUGUCAAAAACCUAGAGCCAAGUAUUGAUGGGGGCCAGCGAGAUCCCUCAUCCGCAUCCCUAGACGCCUUUUGUAGCCAAUUGCUUGGCGCACACUUUAGCAAUUUUCGAUACAUUUCCCUCGAUUUGUGUGUGUGUGUGCGUGCGUGUUUGGGUAGUAUAGGCAUUGUGCAUUAACAAUUACUUUUAUUCGUUUGUCAUGGAACAUUGUUAGAGCUGAAUU